rnacentral:rRNA from 1 species
UACAGAGGGGCAAGCGUUGUUCGGAAUUACUGGGCGUAAAGGGCGCGUAGGCGGCCCGCUAAGUCGAACGUGAAAUCCCGAGCUCAACUCGGGAACUGCGUCCGAUACUGGUGGGCUUGAAUCCGGGAGAGGGAUGCGGAAUUCCAGGUGUGAGCGGUGGAAAUGACGUAGAUAUCUGGAGGAACACCGGUGGCGAAGGCGGCAUCCUGGACCGGCAUUGACGCUGAGGCGCG